rnacentral:rRNA from 1 species
AUUGAACGCUGGCGGCAUGCCUUACACAUGCAAGUCGAACGGUAACGCGGGGCAACCUGGCGACGAGUGGCGAACGGGUGAGUAAUGCAUCGGAACGUGCCCAGUAGUGGGGGAUAGCCCGGCGAAAGCCGGAUUAAUACCGCAUACGACCUACGGGUGAAAGCGGGGGACCGUAAGGCCUCGCGCUAUUGGAGCGGCCGAUGUCAGAUUAGGUAGUUGGUGGGGUAAAGGCCUACCAAGCCUUCGAUCUGUAGCUGGUCUGAGAGGACGACCAGCCACACUGGGACUGAGACACGGCCCAGACUCCUACGGGAGGCAGCAGUGGGGAAUUUUGGACAAUGGGCGCAAGCCUGAUCCAGCCAUGCCGCGUGCGGGAAGAAGGCCUCGGUGUAACG